rnacentral:lncRNA from 1 species
GUGAAGUCAGUCCCGGGCCCUGAUUACAGGAUGCCGGUGCAGGUGCACGCUCGCCUGUUGGGGAAAAACGAGUCAGUGAAGGAGGUCCGGAAGUUUGAUGUCUCUCAGUCAUUUUUCCAUCGCAACUUUGCGUAUUUUCACACCAAGAUCGCAGAAGCGUUUCAUCUGAGAAAACGUUUCAAGCUCUACUACAAAGAUAAUGAUGAGAUGGUGGUGUUCUCCUCUGAUAAUGAACUGGCCACAGCUCUGACAACCGUACAGGACAACGUCUUCAACGUCUACAUCAAAGUUUCUGAACAAUCCAAGUCCAAACCCAAGCCAAACAACGUUUGACCUCUGAGAACAUCUGCUGGAAACCUGAACACCAACCCACCCUGUGUUACUGACACACACUCACACAAACCCACACUUCCCCUAGGGGAUUAAUACAGUAUAUCUUCUUCUUCUUCUUCUUCUUCUUCUUCUUCACUGGUUUCCAUGGAAACAACAGAUUAAUGUUCUUCAGGCCUCAAUCUUGUUUUAAACUUUUAUUUUUUUCAGUAUGUUUUAUUGUUUAUUGUUAGAGGGGCAGAGUAUCAUGUAAACAGAGUUACAGUAAAAACACGUAUGACUGUAUUUUCUGACAAUGAAUAAAUAAACACCUGUUGAAUGAAGUCACUGUUAUUAGGGACC